rfam:Clostridium leptum DSM 753 C_leptum-3.0.1_Cont886, whole genome shotgun sequence.
GAGAACUGGUAAUUCGAUGGGUGAAAUGAAGAAGCAACGUUCGGAAGCGCCCACCUUAAUACUCCGACUGGCAGUGUAAGCGGAAACGCUGACUGUCAGAAGCUCGGUGAAGUCGGCAGAGAGCAGCCGUAUUGCAGAAAUGCAGCGAAAGCGGUUCAGCGGUGAAUUGUGCUGCCUAUAUGCCGGAGGUCUAUAAA